rnacentral:rRNA from 1 species
GAUGAACGCUGGCGGCGUGCCUAAUACAUGCAAGUCGAGCGAACAGACGAGGAGCUUGCUCCUCUGACGUUAGCGGCGGACGGGUGAGUAACACGUGGAUAACCUACCUAUAAGACUGGGAUAACUUCGGGAAACCGGAGCUUAUACCGGAUAAUAUAUUGAACCGCAUGGUUCAAUAGUGAAAGACGGUUUUGCUGUCACUUAUAGAUGGAUCCGCGCCGCAUUAGCUAGUUGGUAAGGUAACGGCUUACCAAGGCAACGAUGCGUAGCCGACCUGAGAGGGUGAUCGGCCACACUGGAACUGAGACACGGUCCAGACUCCUACGGGAGGCAGCAGUAGGGAAUCUUCCGCAAUGGGCGAAAGCCUGACGGAGCAACGCCGCGUGAGUGAUGAAGGUCUUCGGAUCGUAAAACUCUGUUAUUAGGGAAGAACAAAUGUGUAAGUAACUAUGCACGUCUUGACGGUACCUAAUCAGAAAGCCACGGCUAACUACGUG